rnacentral:rRNA from 1 species
GUGUCAGCCGCCGCGGUAAUACGGAAGGUCCGGGCGUUAUCCGGAUUUAUUGGGUUUAAAGGGAGCGUAGGCCGGAGAUUAAGCGCGUUGUGAAAUGUAGACGCUCAACGUCUGCACUGCAGCGCGAACUGGUUUCCUUGAGUACGCACAAAGUGGGCGGAAUUCGUGGUGUAGCGGUGAAAUGCUUAGAUAUCACGAAGAACUCCGAUUGCGAAGGCAGCUCACUGGAGCGCAACUGACGCUGAAGCUCGAAAGUGCGGGUAUCGAACAGGAUUAGAUACCCUGGUAGUCCGCACGGUAAACGAUGGAUGCCCGCUGUUGGUCUGAAUAGGUCAGCGGCCAAGCGAAAGCA